rnacentral:tRNA from 1 species
GGUGGCUCAGUGGUAGAAUGCUUGCCUUGCAUGCAUGAGGCCCUGGGUUUGAUUCUCAGCACCA